rnacentral:rRNA from 1 species
AUGGUGGUCGUCGAUGCGGUGGUCGUCGACGCGGGGUCCAAGCUGGGCAUGGCGCUGCCCGACCAAGCCCCCGGGCUGGUGAUGCCCUUGAAGAUGAAGACGGAGGUGGCUACGGUUCAAACAUGCACGCGAGCGUCAAAUAGGAACCACCCAGUGGCAGCACCGGCAGAGGAGGAGGUGCCCUCGAGGAGGAGGGGAUGCUGCCGGAGGAGGGAGGAGGGGAUGCUGCGGAGCGGGAGCGGGUGGCAGGGCUGCAGGCGCGCGAGGACUACCGCCUCCCGCCUAGGCGCUUCGCCGGCGCCGUCAGGGCCUCCGAGGACUUUGUGCACUCGCUGGGCAUCCAGAAGAGGAGGCUGCGGAAGCACAAGGGUGCUGUCAACACCAUAA